rnacentral:sRNA from 1 species
UCCAUGAGAAGCUCUGACAAGCUUCUGUAUUUUUUUAAAAAAAAAAUUGGG